rnacentral:rRNA from 1 species
ACCAAGGGGGAGGAUUCCUAUAGGUGGUUUGAGAAGGGAAUUUUCAGCCGCACAUGGGAACUGAGAACCAGGUCCAGACUUCCUACCGGGAGGCAACCAGUGGGGGAAUUUUUGCCCAAUGGGCGGCAAGCCUGAUGCAACCAUACCCGCGUGUAUGAAGAAGGCCUUCGGGUUUGAAAAGUACUUUCAGCAGUGAGGAAGGUGGUAGUGUUAAUAGCCUUAUCAUUUGCCGUUAGCUGCAGAAGAAGCCCCGGAUAAAUUCCGUGCAAGCAGCCGGGGUAAUACGGAGGGUGCGAGCGUUAAUCAGAAUUACUGGGCGUAAAGCGCAUGCAGGUGGUUUGUUAAGUCAGAUGUGAAAGCCCGGGGCUCAACCUUCGGAAUUGCAUUUGAAACUGGCAGACUAGAGUACUGUAGAGGGGGGUAGAAUUUCAGGUGUGGCGGUGAAAUGCGUAGAGAUCUGAAGGAAUACCGGUGGCGAAGGCGGCCCCCUGGACAGAUACUGACACUCAGAUGCGAAAGCGUGGGGAGCAAACAGGAUUAGAUACCCUGGUAGUCCACGCCGUAAACGAUGUCUACUUGGAGGUUGUGGCCUUGAGCCGUGGCUUUCGGAGCUAACGCGUUAAGUAGACCGCCUGGGGAGUACGGUCGCAAGAUUAAAACUCAAAUGAAUUGACGGGGGCCCGCACAAGCGGUGGAGCAUGUGGUUUAAUUCGAUGCAACGCGAAGAACCUUACCUACUCUUGACAUCCAGAGAACUUUCCAGAGAUGGAUUGGUGCCUUCGGGAACUCUGAGACAGGUGCUGCAUGGCUGUCGUCAGCUCGUGUUGUGAAAUGUUGGGUUAAGUCCCGCAACGAGCGCAACCCUUAUCCUUGUUUGCCAGCACUUCGGGUGGGAACUCCAGGGAGACUGCCGGUGAUAAACCGGAGGAAGGUGGGGACGACGUCAAGUCAUCAUGGCCCUUACGAGUAGGGCUACACACGUGCUACAAUGGCGCAUACAGAGGGCGGCCAACUUGCGAGAGUGAGCGAAUCCCAAAAAGUGCGUCGUAGUCCGGAUCGGAGUCUGCAACUCGACUCCGUGAAGUCGGAAUCGCUAGUAAUCGUGGAUCAGAAUGCCACGGUGAAUACGUUCCCGGGCCUUGUACACACCGCCCGUCACACCAUGGGAGUGGGCUGCAAAAGAAGUGGGUAGUUUAACCUUCGGGGGGACGCUCACCACUUUGUGGUUCAUGACUGGGGUGAAGUCGUAACAAGGUAGCCGAAGGGCGAA